UACGUAGGUGGCAAGCGUUGUCCGGAUUUACUGGGCGUAAAGAGCGCGCAGGCGGUCGUUCAAGUCGCGUGUGAAAGCCCCCGGCUCAACUGGGGAGGGUCACGCGAUACUGAUCGACUCGAAGGCAGGAGAGGGAAGUGGAAUUCCCGGUGUAGUGGUGAAAUGCGUAGAUAUCGGGAGGAACACCAGUGGCGAAGGCGGACUUCCUGGCCUGUUCUUGACGCUGAGGCGCGAAAGCUAGGGGAGCAAACGGG
rnacentral:rRNA from 1 species